rnacentral:rRNA from 1 species
UACGUAGGGGGCAAGCGUUGUCCGGAAUCAUUGGGCGUAAAGAGCGUGUAGGCGGUUCGGUAAGUCUGUCGUGAAAUCCUGAGGCUCAACCUCGGGCGUGCGAUGGAUACUGCCGGGCUAGAGGGUGGUAGAGGCGAGUGGAAUUCCCGGUGUAGCGGUGAAAUGCGCAGAUAUCGGGAGGAACACCAGUAGCGAAGGCGGCUCGCUGGGACACGCCUGACGCUGAGACGCGAAAGCUAGGGGAGCGAACAGG